rnacentral:rRNA from 1 species
UUCUUGGUCAUUUAGAGGAAGUAAAAGUCGUAACAAGGUUUCCGUAGGUGAACCUGCGGAAGGAUCAUUAAAGAAAUUUAAUAAUUUUGAAAAUGGAUUUUUUUUUUUUGUUUUGGCAAGAGCAUGAGAGCUUUUACUGGGCAAGAAGACAAGAGAUGGAGAGUCCAGCCGGGCCUGCGCUUAAGUGCGCGGUCUUGCUAGGCUUGUAAGUUUCUUUCUUGCUAUUCCAAACGGUGAGAGAUUUCUGUGCUUUUGUUAUAGGACAAUUAAAACCGUUUCAAUACAACACACUGUGGAGUUUUCAUAUCUUUGCAACUUUUUCUUUGGGCAUUCGAGCAAUCGGGGCCCAGAGGUAACAAACACAAACAAUUUUAUCUAUUCAUUAAAUUUUUGUCAAAAACAAGAAUUUUCGUAACUGGAAAUUUUAAAAUAUUAAAAACUUUCAACAACGGAUCUCUUGGUUCUCGCAUCGAUGAAGAACGCAGCGAAAUGCGAUACGUAAUGUGAAUUGCAGAAUUCCGUGAAUCAUCGAAUCUUUGAACGCACAUUGCGCCCCUUGGUAUUCCAGGGGGCAUGCCUGUUUGAGCGUCAUUUCCUUCUCAAACAUUCUGUUUGGUAGUGAGUGAUACUCUUUGGAGUUAACUUGAAAUUGCUGGCCUUUUCAUUGGAUGUUUUUUUUCCAAAGAGAGGUUUCUCUGCGUGCUUGAGGUAUAAUGCAAGUACGGUCGUUUUAGGUUUUACCAACUGCGGCUAAUCUUUUUUUAUACUGAGCGUAUUGGAACGUUAUCGAUAAGAAGAGAGCGUCUAGGCGAACAAUGUUCUUAAAGUUUGACCUCAAAUCAGGUAGGAGUACCCGCUGAACUUAAGCAUAUCAAUAAGCGGAGGAA